CCGGUACCUGCGGUUAAAAUGAAGUACUAAGAACCCAACAUAAAUGUACUAGCGUGGCAGUUGUUCCGUCCAGCGAAGGACCUUCAGCUAAAAACGAUUAGGAAACCUCGUGUUGACACUAAAGGCGAAUAUAACGCUUUAUCAGGCUAGCAAAGCUAACGGAGCUAACGAAGCUAACCGCACCUGCGACGUUAGCGCCAACUCUGUUUACAGUCAGUAUUUGGUUAAACUUGGUUGAUCAACGCGACUAAAGUGUAGUUAUUAGAAGGUAAAUCACAUGAAGUGAUGCUAAAGCAAUUAAUUAUUGGCAAAAGCUUUUCUGCUCCAAUUUAAAGAUGAACGUGGUUUAGCUACUGUCUCAGCUAAUGUUCACUUUAAACUUAAUGUUUAUAUGGAUUUAAUAAUUUAAUAUUACAAAUAUAAAUUAAUGAGAUGAAACAUGGUUAUAUAUUUCUGAACUGUGGCACACCCUUUAUUUUUAGUUAAGGAGGAAGGAAAUGUAGGUGAAUCAGAUGGAUUAAAAUUAAAUCCAGUACAGCUGCUGAGGCAGAUUCUAUCGUGACGUCAUCAUUUCGUGGCCUGUUUAUUCUAGUUUUGCUGAUCUCUCAUUUUUUAACUCUGUCCUACUUUAAACUGAUCCAGUUACUGCUGACAAACGAGGUCACUCACAAGAAUUAAAGUGAUGUUUCUUAUGACGUCAACAACACUUUAAAUGUAUAGCUUAACUAGAAGUUAUGUAUUAAUUAAUUCCUGCAAAUGCUUUGUCAGCGCUGGAUCUGCAUUUCCUUUGUAAAGCUCAGUUAAUGAAGGCGUCUUCCUGACGAAGUGGAGCUGAUUGUAGCUCAGUGCGUGGUUUAACCAGCAGUUACCAGGAUCUAAUUUCCAGCAUCUUGGAAGCAACAGAUCACAUUUCAGAAGUGAAUUCGAGCUGAACAUGAAGAGUCCUCCGUUAACGCUGGAGGGGACUCGAUGCUUCUCCGUCCUCCGGCCUCAGCGUCGGCUCCACUUCAGUCUCAGCCGUUUGUGGCUCCUGCUGAUAAGACGGAGCUCAUGGUGAUAAACAGGCUGUUCAAGGACUGUAGUCUAAGCUAACAGCUUCCUACGGCGCUGUGGUCAAAACCUGACUGGAAUAUAAAGUCGCAGCCAACCCGUCCUCUCCUCCUGGGCCUGAGGCAGCGCCGGAGCCGGUCCCGGUCCCGGUCCCAGCUCUCACUGGGUGAGAGACGUCCUGCACACAGUAACACGGAGCUGAGAACAGACCCCGACUGAGCCACACGUGUUUGGAAGCUGCAGGAACCAGGAGGCACCCGGCGACGUGGGGAUCCCAGCCCAGUUCUGGGGCUGUGAGUGACAUUACUGAUACCGAGACACCAAAAUGAAACCUUAACAUUUAUAUUCACAAGGAAGCAGCUGGAAGCUGUGUAGUAUUAAUAAAUACACUGCUGUGAUCAUUUUGCUUUGGGUGAUCACGGAAACGUGGAGUCUAGUUUUAUCGCCUUCGUAUGAAACAGAAGAUAAUAAUACAUUGUGGGUUACAUCACCAUGUUUCUGGUGACUGACGUCAUGAGGAGGAGGCAGAGACUUGUGACGCAGGACGCUGGCGUCUCCCAUGCUGCGUGUUUGUGACCACGUCCUCUACACAUGUGAACACAGAGCAGACCUGCUGCCGUCCUUUGAGCUUGAUGAGUCCAUUCUGUGCAUUUCAAACCCCAGCACACUGAGGCUGACAGGCGCCUCUCUGAUCCUGCUUGCAGCUAUGCAUGAUGAUUACCAUCCCUGCAGUCAUUUAUGUUGCCACGCCGCUACACCUCUCUGCUCUCGGCCCAGACUGAAUGCUAAAAGCCAGGUGGGCCCAGCUCGUCCACAUCUAGUUCACUUCACUCCAGUCAGUGGACACAUGGAGGCUUUGUAUGCGCUGCAUCCACUGCCCAGGCCCGUCCUGCAGUAGUGGACCUUCUGUGGGUUUUACAGAAAAGUAAAUCACAUGUGCUUCCUUUCAGCACGUUCAUACGUCCUUUUACUUUUCAUAAGCACCAGUUGACAGUGGCUGGUCUAUGGAUGAUAAACUGCUCAGGUGCCGGUCUGGGUUCUGUUCAUAAAGCUGUGGUGACGUCUGGGCUGUAGUCACUGUACUGACGCUCGGUGACAGACGUUCUGUGACGACUCUGCUGCUGUGACUUCAUGCUAACAAGCUGAGUUUGUCUGUGAAGGUGACGCCACACGCUGCUUGUAGGUGUGUAAAUGUGACCACGUUAUUGACAAUCAGACCAUUGGUUGUGAGCUUUAAGUACAACCAGGCAUCCUCUAAUCCUCUCCUCAUGUCUGAGCCAGUAGUUUCGCUGCUGGUUGUAAGUGAGAUCUCUAUUAGGAUCACUGUCAGCCUCUCUACACGCUGGUGGAACCCAGUCACGACUGGAGGAAAGCGCAGCUUCCACCGCGGCACCGCCGCACGUUUGGAUCCGCUUCAUCACAGAAAUGACUGACGUCACUUCUUAUCUGUCAGAAGAAGCUGGAAACUCGAUAAUUCACCCUUCACUCCCAGGUUUGCUCCCUAAAUCUGCUCUUCUUCAGCUCUAAAACUCAACAUAUGUUGCUGUUUUCAUGCAGGAGCUGGUUUCGAAGCGGAUCAGUAAGAACAGAUUCAGAAAUGAGCGUAUGAAUAUAUAGGAUAAUUAAGAAUAGAUGUGGACGCUUGUGUUGGUUGAGGCCAAACUAAAGUCGUGUCCCUCUGGAUGCUGAGCUCCGGGUUCUGAUCCAUUUGAAGCUAAGCAUCACUGGGCAGAUGGCCUCACUCAUUUGGCACUAAAUUACUUCAGAACCAAAGAGGUGCCGGCUUUGAUUGAUGCCCACAAAAUGCAGAGGUUUAGUUUGCGGAGGCAAGUUUUGAUACGUGGCCUGUGGCGAGAACAGUGAUGCUUGAGGCUCCGUUCAGUGUUCUUCUGAUGGUCCUGUAGGUGGAGUCUGUGUUUGCAUCAGUGCACCGGCCUCAUCCCAUAGAACUACUGUACAGGCACAACUCCAACAGCUUCUCCUUCUCACAGACUCUGUUCUUUCCUGGAUGACAAAUGUCAUGAAGUGACUCGCAUCAGCACCAUCUGUGUGACAGAGUCAGGCAUUAAUCCAAGGGGAGGUUCCCCAACAUGUGGCUGCAGCUGC